rnacentral:rRNA from 1 species
AGUGAACGCUGGCGGUAGGCCUAACACAUGCAAGUCGAACGGCAGCACAGUAAGAGCUUGCUCUUACGGGUGGCGAGUGGCGGACGGGUGGGGAAUACAUCGGAAUCUACUUUUUCGUGGGGGAUAACGUAGGGAAACUUACGCUAAUACCGCAUACGACCUACGGGUGAAAGCAGGGGAUCUUCGGACCUUGCGCGAUUGAAUGAGCCGAUGUCGGAUUAGCUAGUUGGCGGGGUAAAGGCCCACCAAGGCGACGAUCCGUAGCUAGUCUGAGAGGAUGAUCAGCCACACUGGAACUGAGACACGGUCCAGACUCCUACGGGAGGCAGCAGUGGGGAAUAUUGGACAAUGGGCGCAAGCCUGAUCCAGCCAUACCGCGUGGGUGAAGAAGGCCUUCGGGUUGUAAAGCCCUUUUGUUGGGAAAGAAAAGCAGCAGGUUAAUACCCCGCUGUUCUGACGGUACCCAAAGAAUAAGCACCGGCUAACUUCGUG